rnacentral:rRNA from 1 species
GAUGAACGCUAGCUACAGGCUUAACACAUGCAAGUCGAGGGGAAACGACAUCGAAAGCUUGCUUUUGAUGGGCGUCGACCGGCGCACGGGUGAGUAACGCGUAUCCAACCUGCCCACCACUUGGGGAUAACCUUGCGAAAGUAAGACUAAUACCCAAUGAUAUCCCACGAAGGCAUCCGAAUGGGAUUAAAGAUUUAUCGGUGAUGGAUGGGGAUGCGUCUGAUUAGCUUGUUGGCGGGGUAACGGCCCACCAAGGCUACGAUCAGUAGGGGUUCUGAGAGGAAGGUCCCCCACAUUGGAACUGAGACACGGUCCAAACUCCUACGGGAGGCAGCAGUGAGGAAUAUUGGUCAAUGGGCGAGAGCCUGAACCAGCCAAGUAGCGUGCAGGAUGACGGCCCUAUGGGUUGUAAACUGCUUUUAUAAGGGAAUAAAGUGGGUCACGUGUGACUUUUUGCAUGUACCUUAUGAAUAAGGACCGGCUAAUUCCGUG